ACCUUCAUUAAAACGAAAAGAGGU
rnacentral:siRNA from 1 species